rnacentral:rRNA from 1 species
ACGCUCGACACCUACGGGAGGCGGCAGUGGGGAAUAUUGCACAAUGGGGGAAACCCUGAUGCAGCGACGCCGCGUGAGUGAAGAAGUAUUUCGGUAUGUAAAGCUCUAUCAGCAGGGAAGAAAAUGACGGUACCUGAGUAAGAAGCCCCGGCUAACUACGUGCCACAGCCGCGGUAAUCUGAGCGGGCUGGCAAGGC